UACCAGCACCCCGAGUGGUCGGGACGAUUAUUGGGCCUAAAGCAUCCGUAGCCGGUUCUACAAGUCUUCCGUUAAAUCCACCUGCUUAACAGAUGGGCUGCGGAGGAUACUAUAGAGCUAGGAGGCGGGAGAGGCAAGCGGUACUUAGUGGGUAGGGGUAAAAUCCGUUGAUCCAUUGAAGACCACCAGUGGCAGAAGGCGGACUUGCCAGA
rnacentral:rRNA from 1 species